AGAGUUUGAUCCUGGCUUAGGAUGAACGCUGGCGGCGUGCUUAACACAUGCAAGUCGAACGGAGUUUUAAACGGAAGUUUUCGGAUGGAAGUUUAGAAACUUAGUGGCGGACGGGUGAGUAACGCGUGGGUAACCUGCCUCAUACAGGGGGAUAACAGUUAGAAAUGACUGCUAACACCGCAUAAUAUAGCGAAACCGCAUGAUUUUGCUAUCAAAUAUUUAUAGGUAUGAGAUGGGCCCGCGUCUGAUUAGCUAGUUGGUGGGGUAAAGCCUACCAAGGCGACGAUCAGUAGCCGGCUUGAGAGAGUGACCGGCCACAUUGGGACUGAGACACGGCCCAAACUCCUACGGGAGGCAGCAGUGGGGAAUAUUGGACAAUGGGGAAACCCUGAUCCAGCGAACCGCCGCGUGAGUGAAGAAGUAUUUCGGUAUGUAAAGCUCUAUCAGCAGGGAAGAUAAUGACAGUACCUGACUAAGAAGCCCCGGCUAACUACGUGCCAGCAGCCGC
rnacentral:rRNA from 1 species